AACGAACGCUGGCGGCAUGCCUAACACAUGCAAGUCGAACGAGACCUUCGGGUCUAGUGUCCCACGGUUGCGUAACGCGUGGGAACCUUCCCUUAGGUUCGGACUAACUCCCCGAAAGGGGUGCUAAUACCGGAUAAUGUCUUCGGACCAAAGAUUUAUCGCCUUUGGUUGGGCCCGCGUUGGAUUAGCUAGUUGGUAGGGAAAAAGCCUACCAAGGCGACGAUCCAUAGCUGGUCUGAGAGGAUGAUCAGCCACACUGGGACUGAGACACGGCCCAGACUCCUACGGGAGGGAGGAGUGGGGAAUAAUGGACAAUGGGCGAAAGCCUGAGCCAGCAAUGCCGGGUGAGUGAUGGAGGCAUUAGGGUUGUAAAGCUCUUUUAACCGGGAUGAUAAUGACAGUACCGGGAGAAUAAGCGCCGGCUAACUCCGUG
rnacentral:rRNA from 1 species